ensembl:lncRNA
ACGCUCAUCUCCCGGCUCUGAGAUGUGUCUGGGCGUGGAGGCGUCACACCGAUACACCCAUGUGGACUGUGACAAGUGUUGAAUGCCGGGUAUGACAUUUGGAGCCUUCUACAUGUGUUUGAACAGGGAAGGGACACGGGGAAAGCAGGGACUCUGGUUCCACUCUUAAGCCAAAUGUAAAACCGAGGCUCAGGGCUUCUGUGCCUGCCGGAUGGUGGAUUUGCUUAGAAAGCAGUGUGAGGGGAAGAACCCAGAGGAACACGAGUCUAUGUUCUGGAGCCCUCCCGAGGGAGGCAGAGGUUAGCAGUCAGCCCUCUCAUCGGACCGGCGUUUUCGGACACGAAUGAAUGCCGCACGGCGGGUUUGCAGUCCUAGCCCGGCGACACCAGCCAAGUACACGUGUGGAUUUCCUCUCGCGGCAUCCGGACGUCCCAGAGCUGCUGUGGAGGCCGAGGGAGGAGGUCCUGCCCAGUCCUUCCCCAGGCCGCCUCCCCUUCAGCCCAUCCCAUUGGGUCCAGUUCACCCAUCUCGCUCCGGCCCCUUUGCCCGAGCUGGGCCUGUUGUAGACCUUCAGAUAUUUAAUUUGUAAACACUUAAUAAAGCACUGUCAGGAGGUCGGCGCGCCUUCUCUGUCGGCCACAUCAAAAUCAAUACGUCCCUCGGGUGUUCCGCCGUGAUUGUCUGGGCCGGGGAAUCUAAUAGGAUUAAGUGUUUGGGGUCCUAUCUGACGCCGCAGUCCACAGUCCUAGUUAGAUGAGGUUAAAGACUGGCUUGCCAGUUGUGGAGGUACGACUGCUUAGGGGUCUGAAAAAUCAUUAAAGCUUGUCCUCUUAAACGUUGAUUGUUCCCUGGUGAUUUAUUGACAAAACACAAAAAAGUGCUCUAUACUGCACUCUAAUUAUAUGUAUGAGGCCAUAAGAUCUCAUGGGAAAUUAAAUAAAAUUUACAGCUUGAUGGUUUUAUGCUCCUGGGAGACAUACCUUCUUAAUAAGAUCUUAUAGCUGGGAAUAUUUAUGAGGUUAAAGUCCGUAGGCUUGAGCAAAGACCUAACCUUUCCGUGGGAGAGGGGGUGGGGGCGCGUUUGGAUUUCUUUGAAGAUAAACGAUGGUAAUGAAAUUUCAGGGGUCUGGGAGGAAAUGUUCAGUGAGACACAUCGAGCGAGCCUCCCCAAGACCUCCGGAGGACAAAGCCGUGAGGGCACCGGGACGCAUCGGCCGCGGCCGCCGUUUAUCUCGCGCGGGGCUCCCGGUGGUCCUGCCCACCGCGGAAACUCACUGGGGCUUCCUCAUCAGCGUCUGAAAGAGAGGGAGGAGCCCAGUUAAGGGCAAUUAUCGGAGAGGUCAAGGAAGGGGAAAGGACUGGAGGUGGGGAAAGGGGGAGGAACGGGAGAGGGGAUAUAAAUGAGAAUGACACUGAUGGACUGGGACCCGGAAAAGGCCGUUCCACACGUUCCGGCAGCCCCAGAGGAGUUACUGGACAUUCAGACCCUUGCUAUUUUACCCGAUCGCUUGCUCUUGUGUCAAGGGGUGGCUGGGGCCCAGGCCCUGGUCUUGCAAGGAUUACAGUGUGCUCUCUGAACAAAGGAUCAGAAUAUCUCAAGGGUGGUGGUGAGAAGGGAGCUUCUGCAGGUGGCCUAAGGACGGGACUUUCCUGACUCUGGAUAGUCUGUUCACAGAGGCGCAUGUUCUAAAUAGUCCCAGUGGUUUUUGGUGUUCUUCAUCCCAGUGUCUGCGUGGACCCUGAAUGCAGCUCGAUCCUGGAAAACGGGCUGUCGAUUGAAGAACACUCUUUAUUAGGCUCCCCUCCAUUGCUGCUUUAUUUUCCCCAGUUGCCUGAAGCGGCAGGAGGGAGGGAGGUAGACAGCCAGGCAGGCGGACAGGCAGGUACGUAGGUAGUAGAGAAGGAGCUGCCUCUCAUUCCGCUGUGUAGACCUGUACUCUAUCCAGGGAAGGAUAAUUAUACCGAAUUCAGGUAGGGGGAGGUCAGUUGGGAUCUCUUUUUCUGUUGGUUUUUAUGAGUCUUUUUCUGUGAAGUUCUGCGUGGCCCUUUCUUGGUGUGUGAGUGUUUCAGGGGACCUUGGCAGGGGCUGGGGAUCAGGCUAUAGAGGGGCUUGGGAUAGAUGGUGUGUCAUCUCUCUGGGGCCUUGAGACUUCGAGAUCCUUGCAGCCAGCCUUUCCUCUGGGGCAGCUGUGACUGUGGGGGGUGGGUUGGAAGGGCAGUUUCCUGUGUGCUGUCGUUUAUCCAGAAGAGGCAAAGCCCCAGCCUUUGGAGGCCCCGCCCCCACCCCGCCUACACUCAUGUGAAAAGCAAAGGACUCUUUUUUUAAAAUUACUCAAUGAAUUUUAUUACAUUUGUCGUUGUACAAUGACCACCACAACCCAAUUUUAUAGCAUUUCCAUCCCGAACCCCCAGCCCAUCCCCCCAGCCCCCAACCUGUCUCCUUUGGAAACCGUAAGUUUUGCAAAGGCAGAAUCUGUUCUGCAAAGACGUCCAUCGGGAGCAAAGGACUCUUUGAGUAGGAUACACUUACAUGUGUGGACCUGCAAUGGGGACAUACGUGCACUGACAAGCAUCCUUACUGUCCUUAUUGUCAGUUAGUCAGGCUCCUCUCCUUCCUUCUUCCAGAAUAAACUAAAACAAGACAAAAGGAAAGCUGAACAGACCCUGAAUGCGCAUGACAUGGAUUCCUUAGAGCCCAGCUCUCAUUUCAUUUCGGAGUUGACCUUGGAGGAGGGGGAGAGCGGGCCGGGGGAGGGGAAGGGAGCAGCUUGGUUCUGGGCCAGACCUGCUCGCUCUAGUUUGUCUUCACGCUCCCUCUCCCUGGACCCAGUUUCCUCAUCUGUUAAAUGAAGAGCUAAGGCUAGAUGAUUUUAAGGCCCCUUCCAGCCCUAAAAUAUGACUCAACGGUUCUCGAAUUGAUAUCGGAGAACAGAAUUUCUCUCUACGGCUUGCUCUGGCCUUUGGAGUGAAAGUGAGCUGUCUCGUCAGUUCCGAUAGAACCACUGAAGCCCCACGUCUCAGAUAAAAAGAGAAGAAAAAAAACUUAUUAAAGAGAGCUAGGUUCCCCUGAUAAGCAGCAAGUGAGAAAUCCCUGAUUUAAUUUAAAUAUGAUAUUUCUGUCUUCAUUAAUUUAAAGCAUGUAUAUGAUAAUGUAUCCUUUUUUAUUUAGUGGUCUAUCCUAGAGGGAAAGAAAGGCUGGUUGUGAAGCAGAGGGGUAAAGGUUUGGAUAUUUUUUAAUAAAGAUGAAUCUCCCUAAAAAUGCUUGAAUUAUAUGGAAGUAAGAUUUGUUGCAAGUUACAAAUCAAAGCCUGAAAUGUCACUUAUCUCCUAAUGAUACUUCUACACAGAUUAUUAAUUUCAUUUUCGAAGCCCAAUGAAUGUUAUAUUUUAUGACAUUGAUUAAACAUCUUGCUGCCAUCUACCCAUCCAUCCUUUUCGUUUUCAAAAAUCCAUAUCGGAAUUUAACAAAAACAGCUCAUAAAUUUGUAUUUUACAGCCUAGCCAAGUCGACUGGUUCCCCACUCUGCGUACAACCAGACCCAUCCGGAACCCUGGGCUCAGGCCAUCUCCACUCCACAAGUCAGGCUUUUCUAAGCUGACCUUGUGUUUUGUUACCAGCAUAGGAGCAGGGGAUUUAUUUGGAAAAGUACAUGUGGCUUCUGGAGCAGCAGAGCCACGAGGGGGGCUGCAGGGCAGCUGGGAGAGCCCCUGCCUGGGAGUCAGGGACUCUGCUUUCAUUCUGGCUCUUAGACAAGCCAGUUACCUCCCUCUUCUGCGUCCUGGGGAUAAUUACAGCCUCCCCGCGUUGGCUCACAGUGUCACUGUGGGAUGAACGAGAUAAUAGAUGUGAAGGCUCUCCAGCCCUUCAGAGGGAGGAGUGCGGCCGUGGAUUUAAGAGCCAGUAAAGGACAGGAUAGGCUGAUUGGUUUUGGAUCAACCUCAGGCAUUUUAGGAAAGGUUUAGGAUGACUCUUGAAAGCAAGAAGAAAAGGCUUUCAAAACUAGGUCCAUGGUGGGAUUAUUUAUUGUACUUUUACUGGUAGAAGUACCUCUGGUUCCUCCAGACUCACACCUGUGUUUCCUCAAAACCACCGUGGGCUCCUCCUCUGCCCCCCCAACCCGGGGGGCUCCGAUUAGAAGACCCCGUUUGUUCCCGUGGCAUUUCCCUCACAGUGGCGUGUGUAAUUGCCGUCUUUUCUGUCUGGAGAGGCUGCUGGCACCUGGGUCCCCAUGUCAGGGUGCAGCUGUGCUGUCCCUCCUCCAGGAAGGAGCCAUAUUCGGAGGAUUCUGAAUCGACUCUGCAGGAGAGAUUCAGGGCCAGCCCCCCAAAAGCUGCCACGUAUUGAAGAAAUAACCUGUUAAGAUGGGGUGGGGGGAGGUGGAACCUGAGGAUAAACGAUUCUGCAAGAAUUGAUAACAUCAGGGAAAACACUGUUAUAUCAGAAGCAGCCUUUGUCCAGGGAACCUACCACAAAUGUGCAAGAGGCUUGGAUGGGGCCAUUGGGGGGGGGGGGGCGAGGCUGGUGCCCACGGGGACCAGGGAGGGUCAGCACCAGGAGAAACAGGUGCUGCCGAGUUUCCCUGGAGGCCAGCGCAUCCCUGCAGCCGUGCACACAGGUGCAGAGUGGAGGUUGGGGAGGAACUGCCCAGACCCACUUCUUACCUCUCCCAUCAUGCUGUGCCAGGUUCUCAGAGUGGCAUGUCUUGCCCCCCUUUUCUGACUCAUUUCUCUCCCCUCCCCCCACAGUGUGCUCUGGCACUCGGGAUGUUGCAUAAAGGGGAAAUAUGGCAUGUUUACAGAGAGAAUUUUCAAGAAGUGUUAAUUUAAUAUGCUAAAGUGUUCCCUUCAGCAUUUUACCUUUCUUGUUGUUUUCACAAAACAGCCAAGGCUAAAUAAUGAGCCCAGGGCUGUGCCCUUUGGUAGCGAGAUAGCUCAUUACCCACUAGCGGCCUCCAUCUGCCCUCAUGGCUGCAUAGGGAGCCAUUACGAUUAUGAUGGAAAUCUCAGAAGCCAUUACCAAGAUGCAACAGAGGGCCUACUGCAGACAGCCUAAUGGACUAAUUUGUAAUUGGGAGAGGGAAAUGAGUUAGCGAGCUGGGGCCGGUUUUGAUGAGAGUGGAAGUGCGCAUGCUAAAUGUGAUAAAUGGCGAGGAAUGUGUGUUUGCGCAGUGGGCUCUACAAGGCUUUCCAUCUCUCCCGGGGAUUGGCGGCGUGCUGACAGGCCGUGAGGAGCGGGGAGGAAAAGGCUCGGGGGAGGCGAGCAAGAUGCAAGGAGAGUAGCUAAGGAUAAAUCGGUGAGGAAAACGAAUGGCAGUAAAAUCCAAGGAAAUGACUGCAUCUGCCAUGAAAGGAGUAAUUAGGAAGCAUUUGGUGUGCGUGUCUUUAACCAUUAAAAUAGGGACGAGGAGGAGCCCUGGCGCUUGUGGUGGGAAAGGGGAGGCCGGGGCUGUGCUCUUCCAAGAGGGGAGCCCCUCGUGGAGGGCGCCGAUGGGAGAGCAGAGCUGGUGGUGGUUCGCGCACCUGCCGAUCCCUCUUUCCUGAACCGCCGGAGCCUGCGCUGCGCUCCCCAGGGCCGCUGGAGAUCCCGCCAGGGCAAGGCCCUGCAGGCCAGAGGCAGGCAUCCAGCAAGAGAAGGAGCCCGGGCUGGGGGCGCCAGACCACCCGUGCAGCAAGGCCAGAAGGCACCUUGGCCGGAGAGUGGGGCGUGGGGCGGGGGUGCUGGCGAGCCCCCUCCUAAGCCCUCAGCCCAGCUGUCCAGGCAGAGGCGGGCUGGGGGCUCGCGUAGACGCCCGUGGGACUGACUUCGAAAGGCCACCUUUCCUUCCACUUGCUGGUUGGCCCCCAACACUUCUGGAGGCCGGGGAGAGAGGGCCCCCCGGCCUUCCUGAGGGUGGCCUGGGCCUCGUUUGCUCUCGCACUGCUGUUCCGCAACCGAGACCAGGCCUGCUUGCAGGGCUUCGUUUCUCCUGUUCUCUUUGCCAUGGAGCUCCUCAGCGCUGCCCUCCUACCCUCCAAUCCCUCGUCCUCUCCUCUCAUGUCCUGAGCGCCUCGGCCCCAGGCCUUCGUGCGUCCCCCUCUCCCAGCAGCCCGCCGUCCUCAGCCCUUUCUCCAGCCCACGUUCUCCCUCUCGGGGCGGCCUGAUUUAAACCUCGGAGUUGUCCUGGCUCUCAGCUCCCCAACAUUCUCGUCCUUUUGCCCAGGAAGACCUUUCAGCCUUUCUGCACAGCCUGAGGGAAGACACGUAGUCGGUCGGGGAAGGAAGGAAGGGCUGGAACCAGUGAACCAUGGCCCAGCCCAGGGCUGGCAGGCCCCUUCCCACGGUGAGAGGCUGUGGGGGGGGGGGGGGGGGGGGGCCCCCCCCCCCACACCCCCGCCAGAGAGUUUUCAUUUUCUUCACCAACCACCAAAAGAUAGGAUUUCUGCUUCUCUCCCUCAUGGGAUCCUGACCGUCCUAUUCAGCAGAAUUCCACUGACAAGCCUAUGUGAUUGAUCACAUGAUGGAUCCCACCUACCUUUGAAAUUGAACUUGAGGAC